rnacentral:rRNA from 1 species
CCUACGGGAGGCAGCAGUGGGGAAUUUUGGACAAUGGGCGCAAGCCUGAUCCAGCUAUUCCGCGUGUGGGAUGAAGGCCCUCGGGUUGUAAACCACUUUUGUAGAGAACGAAAAGACACCUUUUAAUAAAGGGUGUUGCUGACGGUACUCUAAGAAUAAGCACCGGCUAACUACGUGCCAGCAGCCGCGGUAAUACGUAGGGUGCGAGCGUUAAUCGGAAUUACUGGGCGUAAAGGGUGCGCAGGCGGUUGAGUAAGACAGAUGUGAAAUCCCCGAGCUUAACUCGGGAAUGGCAUAUGUGACUGCUCGACUAGAGUGUGUCAGAGGGAGGUGGAAUUCCACGUGUAGCAGUGAAAUGCGUAGAUAUGUGGAAGAACACCGAUGGCGAAGGCAGCCUCCUGGGACAUAACUGACGCUCAGGCACGAAAGCGUGGGGAGCAAACAGGAUUAGAUACCCCAGUAGUC